rnacentral:rRNA from 1 species
AGAGAGAGACAUGCGCGCAUAUCAAUAAGCGGAGGAAAAGAAACUAACAAGGAUUCCCCUAGUAACGGCGAGUGAAGCGGGAAGAGCUCAAAUUUGAAAUCUUAAAGGGUUUCCCUUUACGAAUUGUAGUUUAAAGAAGUGUUUUCUGUUGAGGUUUUGGUAAAAGUUCUUUGGAAUAGGACAUCAUAGAGGGUGAGAAUCCCGUAUUUGACCUUUACUUUCAACUUUGUGAUACACUUUCAAAGAGUCGGAUUGUUUGGGAAUGCAGUCCAAAAUGGGUGGUAAAUUUCAUCUAAAGCUAAAUAUUGGCGAGAGACCGAUAGCGAACAAGUACCGUGAGGGAAAGAUGAAAAGAACUUUGAAAAGAGAGUUAAACAGUACGUGAAAUUGUCAAAAGGGAAGCGUUUGACACCAGUGUUGUUUUUCUGAAAAUCAAUUUAAGAACUGUUUAUGCUAAGCUGUUUAGACUUUAUCAGCUAACUGUUUAGUUUUGAGCUUUUCUUUAAUGCACUUUUCAGUUAACAAGUCAGCAUCAAUUUCUUUUGCUGUAAAAAAGCUUGAGGAAGGUGGCUUGAGAUUCGUCUUAAGUGUUUAUAGCCUCUUGCCUAUGCAGUCGGAGAGAUUGAGGUCUGCAGCGUAGAUCCUUCGGGGCUAAAUGCAUUUGUGCUAAGUUAUAGCAUUUUAUAGACAACUUGUUGACUAUGAUUUGUCUUGUAGCUUACUCGCUUAUGUUAUUUUACCUACGCUUAGGAUGUUGAGCGCAUGUCUCUCUCU